rnacentral:rRNA from 1 species
GAGAUGUGUGAUGACGCAUAUCAAUAAGCGGAGGAAAAGAAACUAACAAGGAUUCCCUUAGUAACGGCGAGUGAAGCGGGAAGAGCUCAAAUUUGAAAUCUUCAAGGUUCUACCUUGACGAAUUGUAGUUUAUAGAAGUGUUUUCUGUUAGUAGAGUGGCAAAAGUUCUUUGGAAUAGGACAUCAUAGAGGGUGAGAAUCCCGUAUUUGGUCAUUCCUCCUAGCUUUGUGAUACACUUUCAACGAGUCGGAUUGUUUGGGAAUGCAGUCCAAAAUGGGUGGUAAAUUUCAUCUAAAGCUAAAUACUUGGCGAGAGACCGAUAGCGAACAAGUACCGUGAGGGAAAGAUGAAAAGAACUUUGAAAAGAGAGUUAAACAGUACGUGAAAUUGUCAAAAGGGAAGCGUUUGACACCAGUGUUGUUUUUCCGAAAAUCAAUUACGAAUGUUUUGUUUUUAAGAAGUUAUGACUUCAUCGGCUUGCUUCUUUCUUUACGAAACUUUCUUAAUGCACUUUUCGGUUAACAAGUCAACAUCAAUUUCUUUUGUUGUAAAAGGGUAUGAGGAAGGUGGCUUUCUUUUCGGAGAAAGUGUUUAUAGCCUUGUGCCUCUGCAAUCGGAGAGAUUGAGGUCUGCAGCGUAGAUCCUUCGGGGUUAGAUACAUUUGUGCUAAGUUAUAGCUUUUCAUAGACAACUUGUUGACUAUGUUUAGUCUUGUAGCUUACUCGCUUAUGCUAUUUUACCUACGCUUAGGAUGUUGAGUCGUAGAGCACGCAG